GACGAACGCUGGCGGCGUGCCUAAUACAUGCAAGUCGAACGCAGUGGGGACGGGGGAGUAACACGUGGGUAACCUCCCAUCAGAGGGGAGAACACUUGGAAACAGGUGCUAAACCGAUACUGAUGGAUGAACCAGGUGUGCAUUAGCUAGUUGGUGAGGUAACGGCUAACCAAGGCAACGAUGCAUAGCGGGCCUGAGAGGGUGAGCAGCCAAAAUGGGACUGAGACACGGCCCAGACUCCUACGGGAGGCAGCAGUAGGGAAUCUUGGGAAAUGGACGAAAGUCUGACCGAGCCACGCCGCGUGAAUGAAGAAGGUUUUCGGAUCGUAAAACUCUGUUGUUAGGGAAGCGGUAUCUAACCAGAAAGCCACGGCUAACUACGUGCCAGCAGCCGCGGUAAUAC
rnacentral:rRNA from 1 species